AUGGCGACCGCAUCCAACAAGGUUGCGGUGCUCAUGGCGCUCAUGGCCGCUGCGUUGAGCUCUGUGUCUAUGGCCGCCGGGCUGCAGCACGGCUUCUACUACUCGUCGUGCCCGAAAGCCGAGGACACGGUGCGGAGCGCCGUGCAAGGCAUGAUCCGCAGUGACCCCACCAUGGGCGCUGCCUUUGUUCGCCUCUUCUUCCACGAUUGCUUUGUCAGGGGUUGCGAUGCCUCCAUUCUGCUAGACCAGACCACCAACAACACGCAGACUGAGAAAACAACAAUCCCUCUGCGCGGCUACGAUGCAAUGAACAAGAUCAAGGCCGACGUGGAGGCCGUCUGCCCGGAAGUCGUCUCCUGUGCCGACAUCCUGGCCUUUGCCGCACGCGACUCCGUCGCCGCAUUAGGCGGCUUCACCUUCCACAUGCCAUCCGGCCGCCUCGACGGCUUCCAGUCAGUCGCAGCUGAGGUCUUCCAAGGCAUUCCAUCCCCGGCGUUUCAUCUCCAAGAACUCCUUGACAACUUCGCCGCCAAAGGCCUCAACGCCGAGGACUUGGUGGUGCUCUCCGGCGCGCACUCCUUCGGCCUCACACACUGUAACUUUGUCACCCCACGGUUGUACCCCACCGUCGACCCCACUAUGAACGCCACCUUCGCUGCGGCGCUCAAGAAGGUGUGCCCGCCACCAAGGAACGGCGGGGGAUUCAUCUCCGUGAGCAACAACCGCGUGACAGACCCGAACAAGCUGAGCAACCAGUUCUACCAUAACGUGGCCUCUGGGCAGGUGUUAUUCACGUCGGACCAGACGUUGAUGGACCAGACACCGACAACCGGGAACAAGACGGCGGCCAUGGUAGCCGACAACGCUGCUAACCCCAUCGCGUGGAUGGCCAGGUUCGCGGGGGCUAUGGUGAAGAUGGGAAGCAUCGAGGUGCUUACCGGGACCGACCCGGGCGAAGUCAGGAAGUUCUGCUUCGCCACCAACAACGCGAGCUAG
rnacentral:rRNA from 1 species